rnacentral:rRNA from 1 species
UACAGAGGUCUCAAGCGUUGUUCGGAUUCAUUGGGCGUAAAGGGUGCGUAGGCGGCGCGGUAAGUCGGGUGUGAAAUCUCGGAGCUUAACUCCGAAACUGCAUUCGAUACUGCGGGGCUAGAGUGCAGAAGGGGCAACUGGAAUUCUCGGUGUAGCGGUGAAAUGCGUAGAUAUCGAGAGGAACACCUGCGGCGAAGGCGGGUUGCUGGGCUGACACUGACGCUGAGGCGCGAAAGCUAGGGGAGCGAACGGG